AUAUUUGAAUUUCCAGCAUCAUUACUCUUGCACUUUGGGGUCAUUAUCUAGUAAAAUAAUGGUUACUUGAACACAACACUACUAUACUGAGAUGGUAGGUCU